GCCCAUGUGGUGUAGUGGUUUGAGUGUUAGAUUCUGACUCUACAGACCAGGUUUGAACCCUGAUUCAGCCA